AUCCAUCUGACGAGUCCCGAAUAGGACGAAACGCGCGUCGUGGAU
rnacentral:hammerhead_ribozyme from 1 species